GACGAACGCUGGCGGGCGUGGGAUUAGGCAUGCAAGUCGAACGGUAGGAUACCUUCGGGGUAUCUGAGAGUGGCGAACGGGGUGAGUAACACGUAGGUGAUCUACCUCAAGAUUGGGACAACCCAGGGAAACUUGGGCUAAUACCGGAUGAAAGCAGCAGUGAUGUGUUUGAAAGGUGGCGUAAGCUGCCGUUUGGGGGAUGAGCCUGCGCUCUAUUAGUUAGUUGGCGGGGUAAAGGCCCACCAAGGCGAUGAUAGAUAGGCGGCCUUAACGGGUGGUCGCCCACACUGGGAUUGAGAUACGGCCCAGACUCCUACGGGAGGCAGCAGUCGAGAAUAGUCUACAAUGGCCGAAAGGCUGAUAGUGCGACGCCGCGUGAACGAAGAAGCCCUUCGGGGUGUAAAGUUCUUUUAUAUGUGAGCAGUGCUUUCUAUGUGAACAGCAUGGGGAGAGAGAUAUUAGCAUAUGAAUAAGCAACGGCUAACUCCGUG
rnacentral:rRNA from 1 species